AAAGAAGAAGUAAAUAACGUUGAUCCUUUUUUUUUCUUUUCUCUUCUGGCUGGGGUCCUUAUAAAUUGGUGUUGGCCCUCUUUGUUCUCCUUCUUCUCCAUCCCCAAGUUAAAAGAUUUGUAGUUAGUGUUUUUGAAUAUACAGUACACAUAGUACUACUCUAUGUUGUUGAUGAUAGUUUGGAAGCAAAUCUCUAAAGAUGGAAGUGUUUGGACACACGAUUUCUCGAUAGGCGAAGCGCAUUCUACUUAGGGGACGUAGAAGAUGAUAUAUUUUUGCCAAUCUCAUGGCGAAGGGUUACGUUACGUUGUAGAAGAAAUUAACCUUGAUCACUUCUAUCUUAGUUAAUGGUUUAAGCUUGGAAAGAGGCAGACAGAUGGAGCCAGGCAAUAUAGUCUUUAAUUUUCUGUUAUUCAUGUAUUAUUAAUUUCUUGUUUCAUUAUUAUUUAAUUUCCUAUAGUCUUCCUUCUCUUUGAUCCUUUGGUAGACCUAACAAUAUUUGUUCUAAGGGAUGAGCAAAAGAGAGGAGUGAAUUAAUCUAAGCACUGUUUUUUAAUCGUUUAGUGUGUGCAAAAUGUUGCAGAAUACUACAAAGAACUGAAAGUGAAACUUGCAUUCAGGACGGAACCAGUUCCAUGUCUUUUUGUUGCAUCUAUAUACUAUUUUGUUGAAUGUUAGUAUUAAUUUUGUAUUCUGUUCUUAUGACAGCAAGUUUGGAACAAAUCCGUAUUAUGUUGAUUUUUUUUCCGA
rnacentral:lncRNA from 1 species